AAGCUCGUAGUUGAACCUUGGGCCUGGCUGGCCGGUCCGCCUCACCGCGUGUACUGGUCCGGCCGGGCCUUUCCCUCUGUGGAACCCCAUGCCCUUCACUGGGUGUGGCGGGGAAACAGGACUUUUACUGUGAAAAAAUUAGAGUGCUCCAGGCAGGCCUAUGCUCGAAUACAUUAGCAUGGAAUAAUAGAAUAGGACGUGUGGUUCUAUUUUGUUGGUUUCUAGGACCGCCGUAAUGAUUAAUAGGGACAGUCGGGGGCAUCAGUAUUCAAUUGUCAGAGGUGAAAUUCUUGGAUUUAUUGAAGACUAACUACUGCGAAAGCAUUUGCCAAGGAUGUUUUCAUUAAUCAGGAACGAAGGUUAGGGGAUCGAAGACGAUCAGAUACCGUCGUAGUCUUAACCAUAAACUAUGCCGACUAGGGAUCGGACGGUGUUAUUUUUUGACCCGUUCGGCACC
rnacentral:rRNA from 1 species